UUUGGGCUUUGAGGAGAAUGGCAUAUAUAAAAUUCCAGCGAUCCUGAACAUUCGGGGGUCCAUCCAGCUUCAGAAGAAGAUAAAGUUACAGACAAAAGACAAGAGAGAAAGGAUCUCGUCUUCAAAGAUCCCUUAACUGAUAGAAUACACCAGAAAUUUGGCGACAGAGAGAGAGAGAAACAGAAAUGCUGGUGAUGGAAAAGUUGAGAAGGUUUGUAGCGCAAGAUCCGGUGGUGGCUGUUUGUUCUUCGUCUUCUCAAUUCCGUGCUUCAAUUAAUGAUCAUGGUUCGCUAAAUCCAACUCUACAAAGCUGUGGCGUAGCUGCUCACCCCCUGACUAAAGAAUAUUUCUGGGGCUGAGAAUGAUACUGCAAAAUUCUACUAAUGUGCAUGCUGCAACUGAAACAUUCUACCGAUCCAUGUGGUGCUGUUGUUUAUAAGCUGGACAAACCUUAUGCAAAGACACCAUCCUGCUUUAUUUAUAUGCGAUAAAGGCUUGAUUUUUUUUUUUUGGCAGAUGAAAAAAUCCUCAGUACUGUCAACAUUUUGUUUCUAGUAAUGGAUUUUUUAAUCUCUUUGAAAAUUUCAGGUCUCUUCCUUCUAGCUGCUGUGAAGCCCAUAUGCUGGAUUCCUUAGAAGGAAGGAAGCACGUCCCUGAAAGGCAGCCUUCCAUUAGUGAUGCAUGACAGGGAAACAGCAGGAAUGAUUCAUUUGAUUAAGCAAGUGUCGACUAGCAAUAUGUGCAUGUAAUUUUUUAUUAGUUCUCAAAGAAGUCUAAUUUGUAUCAUAACAUUAUCUCCAACAUUAAAUUCAUUAUGUCGUCUACGAAAAUCACCUCAAAGUUUAUAUUGUACAUUAUUUGCUUGAAUCUUCUUUGUGAUCU